AACUAUUGUUAUCAAUUUCAGCUCAGCAUAGACCGAAGCGAUGCUUGUAGUAUGGCUGACUCAAAAGUGUCAUGAUUCUUAUGAAUUCAGACAAAAAACAUAAUAAACAAAACAAAAUAAAAUGUUUA